rnacentral:rRNA from 1 species
UACGAAGGGGGCUAGCGUUGUUCGGAAUCACUGGGCGUAAAGCGCACGUAGGCGGAUUGUUAAGUCGGAUGUGAAAUCCCUCGGCUCAACUGAGGAAGUGCAUCCGAAACUGGCAGGCUUGAGUACUAAAGAGGGUCGCGGAAUUCCCGGUGUAGAGGUGAAAUUCGUAGAUAUCGGGAGGAACACCGGUGGCGAAGGCGGCGACCUGGGUAGAUACUGACGCUGAGGUGCGAAAGCGUGGGGAGCAACAGGG